UGCGGGGACCCUCGGUGCGCACCAUGGUCAGGAUGGUGCCCAGCACGCCGCGGUACUGGAUACUGGCUCCUGCCCUCCC